GGUUGUAGCUCAGUGGCAAAGUGUUUGCCUAUUAUACAAAGAAUCUCUGGGUUCAAUUCUCAGCACUG
rnacentral:tRNA from 1 species